AUGGAGGCGACGGCGCUGAGCGUCGGCAAGUCGGUGCUAAAUGGGGCGCUUAGCUACGCCAAAUCGGCGGUGGCGGAGGAGUUGGCUCUGCAGCUGGGCGUUGGGCGCGAUCAGGCCUUCAUCACGGGGGAGCUGGAGAUGAUGCAGUCUUUUCUCAUGUCGGCGCACGACGAGGGAGACGGCGACAACAUGGUGGUGAAGACCUGGGUGAAGCAGGUCCGCGACGUGGCCUACAUCGUCGAGGACUGCCUCCAGGAUUUCGCCGUCCGUGUCAACAGGCAACCAUGGUGGCGCACGCUGAUCCACCGGCACGAGGUGGCAAAUCAGAUGAAAGAGCUCAGGGCCAAAGUGGACGAUGUCAGCCAGAGGAACAUACGCUACCAGCUCAUCAAGGGCUCCUCAGAUGCUGCUUCUUCUUCCUCCUCCAAGCAGCCAGCAGCUGACAGAUCUGCAGCAGCGUCAAUGGUUAGCAUCCAUGGCGCCUCCAAGCAGCACAACCAAUCAAACUUGCUCAUGGUCAGCUGCAAUAAUGAUGAUCUUGGGCUUGGGGUGAUCGCCGUGUGGGGAACAAGUGCUGAUCUCGGGCAGACGUCCAUCAUCAGGGCGGUCUAUGAGGAUCCAGAUGUCACAACAAAAUUCACAUGUCGAGCUUGGGUCAGGCUGACACAUCCUUUUAAUCCAAAGGACUUCAUCCAGAGCUUAGUGGAGCAGUUUCAUCAUACUACAACAGCUGCUGUUAUGUUGGAAAUGGACCAGAAGACGCCGCAGCAGCUGGCUCGGGAGUUUGAUGGGUAUGUGAACAAGAAGAGGUAUCUGAUUGUGAUCAAUGACCUAUCCACCAUCGAGGAGUUGGAUCGGGUCAAAAUGUGCUUCCCAAACAACAACAUGGGGUGUAGAAUCAUAGUGUCCACACCGCAAGCUGAAGUUGCGACCUUAUGUGCAGGGCAAGAAUACAAUGUAUCAAAGCUCAAGCAAUUGUCAGCUCAUCAGUAUAUCUAUGCUUUCCACAACAUGGUAAUAUUAUUCAACUAA
rnacentral:rRNA from 1 species